rnacentral:rRNA from 1 species
UCAACGCUGGCGGCGUGCCUAACACAUGCAAGUCGAACGAGAAAGUGGAGCAAUCCAUGAGUAAAGUGGCGCACGGGUGAGUAACACGUGACUAACCUACCCUGGAGUGGGGAAUAACUGAGGGAAACCUUAGCUAAUACCGCAUUAACACCUACGGGUCAAGAGGAGCAAUUCGCUUCAGGAGGGGGUCCGCGGCAGUAUUAGCUAGUUGGCGGGGUAAUGGCCCACCAAGGCGGUGAUCUGUAUCCGGCCUGAGAGGGCGCCACGGACACACUGGGAACUGAAACACGGUCCAGACUCCUACGGGAGGCAGCAGUGGGGGAAUUUUUGGCCAUGAAGGGGGAAAACCUGAAGCAGGCACGCCGCGUUGAAGGAUGAAAUUCCCCUGGGGACGUAAACUCCUUUUCGAUUGGGACGAUUAUGGCGGUUCCGGAAGAAGGAGCCCCGGCUUACUUUCGUGCCAGCAGCCGCGGUAAUUACGAGGGGGGGCAAGCGUUGUUUCGGAAUUAUUGGGGCGUAAAGGGUGCGUAGGCGGUUUGGUAAGUCUUGUGUGAAAAUCUUCGGGCUCAACUCGAAGUCUGCACGAGAAACUGCCGGGCUUGAGUAUGGGAGAGGUGAGUGGGAAUUCCCGGUGUAGCGGUGAAAUGCGUAGAUAUCGGGAGGGACACCUGUGGCGAAAGCGGCUCACUCGGACCAUAACUGACGCUGAUGCACGAAAGCUAGGGGAGCAACACAGGCUUAUAUACCCUGGUAGUCCUAGCCCUCUAAACGAUGAGCGCUAUCAUGUGACGGGUACCCAAUCCCGCCGUGCCGCAAAGCUAACGCGUUAAGCGAUCCGCACUGGAGACGACGCGUCGCAAGGCUGAAACUCAAAGGAAUUGACGGGGGCCCGCACAAGCGGUGGAGCAUGUGGUUUAAUUCGACGCAACGCGAAGAACCUUACCUGGGCUCGAAAUGUAGUGGACCGGAGUGGAAACAUUCCUUCCCCGCAAGGGGCUGCUAUAUAGGUGCUGCAUGGCUGUCGUCAGCUCGUGUCGUGAGAUGUUGGGUUAAGUCCCGCAACGAGCGCAACCCUUAUUACCAGUUGCCACCAUUAAGUU